GACGGAGGUCCCUAGCGUUGUUCGGAAUCACUGGGCUUAAAGCGCGUGUAGGCGGAACGGUAAGUACCUUGUGAAAUCCCCGGCCUCAACCCGGGAACCGCUUGGUAUACUAUCGUUCUUGAGGCAGGUAGGGGUCACUGGAACCUUAGGUGGAGCGGUGAAAUGCGUAGAUAUCUAAGGGAACGCCUGUGGCGAAAGCGGGUGACUGGGCCUGUCCUGACGCUGAGACGCGAAAGCGUAGGGAGCAAAC
rnacentral:rRNA from 1 species